UACGUAGGGGGCAAGCGUUGUCCGGAAUCAUUGGGCGUAAAGAGCGUGUAGGCGGCCCGAUAAGUCCGCUGUGAAAGUCCAGGGCUCAACCCUGGGAUGCCGGUGGAUACUGUCGGGCUCGAGUCCGGAAGAGGAGUGUGGAAUUCCUGGUGUAGCGGUGAAAUGCGCAGAUAUCAGGAGGAACACCUAUAGCGAAGGCAGCUUGCUGGGACGUAACUGACGCUAAGGCGCGAAAGCGUGGGGAGCGAACAGG
rnacentral:rRNA from 1 species